GACCACCACCAGCAUCCUGCUGAGUUUUUUUUCACCAAUGCAAGUAAACACCCCCAGAUGCCCUUUUAGGAAAGGAAGCACCCCAUCAUCUUAAUUUAUUCAUUUCAACAAGUUAUGGAGCUAUCAUCUGAAGACCCUCUUCCUAUGGCUUUGGAUCUCUCAAAGAGAUGUGAGAAGAGUCAUCGGAACCCCAGGACCACAGAGGUUCUGGAACUUGUGAAGAAGCCGGGCUGGCACAGCAUCAGUGACGACCAUCAUGUGUCCAUGCCCUGCAUGCAGAUCCUCUCUGAGAAAACCCUAGCGGACACAGGUGUCAGACUGUCAUACGGGAACAGGUCUUGUGUUCACUCCCCCCUGUUACAUAAUGGUUUGGACAGAAGCCUACGGGACUCAGGGUUGUAUGAGCUAAACCCUACAGAGAGCCCCAAUGUGGAGAGCCCCAUUUCUGACAGCAUGGAUGGAGACGGAAGUCAGAGUGAUUCGGAUUCUGUCAUUUUGCUUGUUUCCAGUUCUAAGGAAGCGCCUCAGAACUAUAUCAACAGGGGGUCUUUUAGUCCUUUAGUGAAGCCUUUAUCCCCUGGUGCUGUUUCUCUGGAUGAAGCUAAAGAUUGUUUUCUACUGCCACAGACAAUGAGCUCCCCCAGUCCAGACAAUACAUACUCGGAGGAUUCUUCUGAAAGUAUGGCGGAGAUGUCAGUGAACACAAAACCUGUUCUUAGCCUUGCAGAAUUAGCUGCUGUGUAUGGGAAAUCUGUCAGAUCCACUGUGGAUAUGUCAAGUGAUGAUAGUGAUGUAAUCGAAGUUCCUAUCACCAAUGAAAAUAAAAAGAAUCCCAGUUUUCGGGUUGGGUGUCAGAAUGAGAAAAGGCUGACAGGUGAACCAAGUAACACUGGAAGGAAAAGCUUUUCUCCAGAGCCUGGAAGACUAAGGCCUAUAGUCACUGCUCAGAAACCCAUCAGUAAUGUAAUUUGCCAUAAUUCAAUAAUCCAUACCAAAAACACUAGUACAAAAUUACAAAAGGAUCAUUCUGGUGACACAGUGGACUCAAAAGAGAAAUCAUCUAGUUCAGAAGACGAGUCUUGGUUACAGCCAACUGUCCAUCUGUACAGAUGUGUCGUAGAUUCUGACGACUCUGAUGUGGACCAUCGGACAGUUAGACUGGACCCAUCUCAGAGCUUAAGUUCCUCAAGAAGGCCACUGAGACGAUCGUCACUUGCCACAGAGUCAAGCCCCAAGUCUUCAUACAUGAAAGAGGUCCAACAGGAGCCGACAACACAUUCUUCAGUAAGUACCCAGGCGUCCAGAACCCAGCAGGAAACCCACACGAGAAGUCCAGCCAAGGAGCCUGUGGCCUUUGGUAGCAAAGCAGCAGCAAGCAAAACAAGAAACGCCAAAAAACAAAGGAAGAAGAAACACAAAAAGGCCGGCUCCUCUCUGUUCUCACCACAAGAGCCGGAAAUCAAGCUGAAAUAUGCAAGCUACAAAAAUGACAAAAGGGACAGUAAAUCAGAGAACUUCAGCCCUUUUGUACACAUGGAGCAGAGGGAGUACUCGGCUUGUACGGUAGUCAACUAUCAACAGGAGGUGAAGGAUGUGAGGCAGAACAAAGGACAGCAAAAGCAGCCAACAGGCUCCGUGUUUUUGUCUGGUGUCGUUCCUAAGACAUCCUGUUAUGGACUAGGUCGCCUUAGCUCGCGGAGUAAGUGUCAGCCUCUUAUGGUGUGCUGCCUGUGUGGCGGCUCCGCUAAUGCUAUCGGCCUAGGGGAUCUUCAUGGGCCUUACUAUCCUAAUGGACCUGCUGUGGAGGAACAGGUCCAGAAGGAAGACCAAAAGGCCAGUGAAUUAUCGGUAGAUUCAUGUGGGCAAGUAGAUAAGAAUGGGUUACGUGGACCAUGCAAUGGGCCUAGGACUGAAGCAGUCGAUGAGGGCUGCUGCAUCGUUGUCAGUGAUUGUGAAAGCUCCCCGUUGCCUUCAGCCAAAAAGCUCAGGACAAACUGCGUUGUGGACAGCCACAGUCUACCGUUGGUGCCCCACAACACCAGUGAACGCUGGAUCCACGAGGACUGUGGCAUAUGGUCCACGGGUGUUUUCUUAGUUAAAGGAAAGCUCUACGGCUUGGAGGAGGCUGUUAGGCUCGCUCAAGAAACAGUAUGUUCCACAUGCCACGCUGCCGGUGCCACGAUGGGAUGCAUCCAGAAAGGCUGCCCCAAUAAGUACCACUACACCUGUGCCCUUCAGUCGGGCUGUGUGCUUAAUGAGGAAAACUUCUCCAUGAGGUGUCCCAAGCACAAGAAAAAAACGUUUAGAGGUUUGAACAUGCCAGACAACAGAUGACAUGAGAGAAGGAAUUGGGACAUUAUGGAAGAAAAAUGUAAUAUGGGGUCUCCUUGAGCAGUCCUAUCACUUUUUAUUCAAGGAAAACUGUGUCCAGGUACUCUCUGAGUGUUGAAGGGUAAACCAUAUUUACAGCAGUCUUCAGUCUACAGGUCCUAUCCUUCACAAAGACGGGCUGUGGAAGAACUGCUGUUUUGUAUUCAUAUUUUAAAAAUUAAAUUUUUUUUAAGGUUUACAUUGAUUCAGUUGUUCUAGUACGAAUAUUGAAUGUGACCCAAUGAAGCCAAAAUAUGUCCCUAUUGUUUGUCUGCCUCCAGGUGGCUAUAGACCUUUAGGCCAGCAGUCAACAGGGAGGCCAAGGUCCCCAAGGGGUGCUCGGAGAAUAGCCAGGGAGCCUCGAGAUGACAAGGAAAAAUAAUGAUAGAAAUUAUUUGACACUAUUUUACUAUGAUUAUUUGACACUAUUUUACAAUAAUCCACAUAGCACCUAAAAUAUAGUGGCUUGCAAAAGUAUUCAAACCCCGUAACCAAUUUUCUCAUAUUUGUGAAUUACAAAUGGUUUAUUCUGAAAUAUAAUUCUGUUCCUAAACAUUAAAGCUACACUUCAUAGAAUUUGGGUCGUUUUUGCUAGCAAUACAGAAGAAAUUUGGUGGAAUCACCUUUCACUGCAGUAACAGCUUUAUGUAUUUUGAGGUACUUACAGAAAAUUUGACAGUAAUUUCAUUCACAAUGUCCUUAUUUGGGCAGUGUCAUCAGUGUUAACUGGGAGCUUCCCACAGCAUAUGGGUGAAAUUGAAGCAACAUGUUUCAGGUUUUUUUCUAACAUUGAAAUCAUUUCACCUUCAAUAUUUCAUUUUAAGUUUAAGGGUUUUAAAAUAUGUAUCAAACAGAACAAACUGUUCAUAUAUAAUUUUUAAUUCCGUAAUAUGAGGGGAUUGGUCAGCGGUGUGAAUACUUUUGCAAAGGACUGUACAUAAAUGAACAGCAACAUCUAUGAAUAUAAAAUCAUUCAUUUUAUAAUUUCUUGUUAUGAAAAGCGCCAAACUAGGAGUGUCUGCCAGUAAGAUCGUUAGCUACCUACCACCUUGCGAUUCUCAACCAAUCAUUUAAUGUCUCUGUUCAGGAUUGCCUCCUAACAUUUUUAAAACAUUACAUUUUUGUUCAUGCAUAAUAGAAUAGAUAAGUUGAAGGAAUGGACAGCUCUGAAAACUAAAACCUUGAGGAUGAUAUGCAUUUUGCCAUGUGAGAGAUCUUUCCAUGCAUUGGCCACAUUAUUUCCAGAAGCCAGCAGCAGUCCUCACAUUGUGUGAGCAGCUUUUGUAAUUACAGUCUGACAGUCUGUAUUUAUUUAAGAAUAAAAAGCAUAAAAAUGCACUUUUGUUUUUCUGUUUGUUGAAUGUCCACGUUAUCACUGUUUGUCCUCAGUUUUAUGUUUUAUAUUUUUAUGAAAUUGGACUAUGAUGUUUUUGUUGUUAGUUUUCACGUCCGUGAUUGAUUUCCUUUUUUGGUACGAACCAUGGGGAGACAUAUUUGAGUUUGAUAUUUAUCCUAAAUAACGGUGAUUAAAAGUCACUGCCCUAAUAAUGACUUGUUUUACAAGUUUACUUUGAACUUCACAUUUCUGUAUGUUGCUAUAUGGAUGUUUUGUAUCUCAAAAGAUUAUACUUUUGGUAAGCAUUUAUUGUCUAUUGAAAAAUUGAAUGGCUAGAGGGAUGGAUCUUAACAAUGGUUUCUCCAGAAAUAUUUAUUUUCUAUUUAUGAUUUAAUGUUAUGCAUAUUUAUUUCAGCAUUAUUCAACUUAUUUUAUUUCAUACAAUGAGGUAAACAUUCUAUUUUUUGCACAAAGUUGGCAAGGUUUGGUGCAUUCAGGUGAAUUUGAGUUUGCCUUGAUAUCAUUAGCUCCUGAGAUUAUGAUUUUAUGCUAAGUUAUUACAGGUAAUUGAGGAAAUGUUUGGAUUUUCCAGUCUUAUAUUUUUAUGGAAGAUAUGGCUAACAUAUGGAAUUCAUUAUCUGUAACAGCUCUUGCAUUUUUUAUCAACCAUUUGAAUAAAUGCUGACAUUCCUGUG